rnacentral:rRNA from 1 species
UUAGAGUUUGAUUCUGGCUCAGGAUGAACGCUAGCGGCAGGCUUAACACAUGCAAGUCGAGGGGCAGCAUGUCCAGCAAUGGAUGAUGGCGACCGGCGGAAGGGUGCGUAACGCGUGAGCAACAUGCCCUAUACAGGGAGAUACACCAGGGAAACUUGGUCUAAUAUCCCAUAGCAUUCAUUGAAGGCAUCUUUAAUGAAUUAAAGCUUCGGUGGUAUAGGAUUGGCUCGCGUGACAUUAGCCAGAUGGUGAGGUAACGGCUCACCAUAGCAAUGAUGUCUAGGGGUUUUGAGAGGAAGGCCCCCCACACUGGGACUGAGACACGGCCCAGACUCCUACGGGAGGCAGCAGUGAGGAAUAUUGGACAAUGGAUGGAAAUCUGAUCCAGCCAUGCCGCGUGCAGGAAGACGGCCUUAUGGGUUGUAAACUGCUUUUAUACGGGAGCAAUAAGGGUUACGAGUAAUCCGAUGAGAGUACUGUAUGAAUAAGGAUCGGCUAACUCCGUGCCAGCAGCCGCGGUAAUACGGAGGAUCCGAGCGUUAUCCGGAAUUAUUGGGUUUAAAGGGUGCGUAGGCGGCCAUUUAAGUCAGCGGUGAAAUUUUGCAGCUUAACUGUAACAGUGCCGUUGAUACUGUUUGGCUAGGAUUUGGUUGUCGUGUGCGGAAUGUGUGGUGUAGCGGUGAAAUGCUUAGAUAUCACACAGAACACCGAUUGCGAAGGCAGCACACUAAGUCAUUAUUGACGCUGAAGCACGAAAGUGUGUGGAUCAAACAGGAUUAAAUACCCUGGUAGUCCACACUGUAAACCAUGAUAACUCGCUGUCGGCGAUACACAGUCGGGGGCCAAGCGAAAAACUUAAGUUAUCCCCCUGGGGGAUACGACCGCGAGGUUGAAACUCAAGGAAUUGGACGGGGGCCCCCACAAGCGGA